rnacentral:lncRNA from 1 species
CAACAUACCCUCCAGCAAGCUCUACGGCUAUAUGACCCUUAUCCACAGCAAGUCCCUGGGGAAAAUUAUUCCUUAACAUGGUGUUGAAUGCUGACAAGGUAUAUCAGUCAGCUUUGGCUAGGACUCAUUUUGCCAUUUACAGAACCACAGUGCAAAUCAGUAAUUUGCACAGAGUCAUCAAGAUGCAUGAGUUUGCAGACUUUUUCUACCACUCCCUCUCUACAUUUGCUGGGGUGCCUCACAAAUCUUGAUCUUGGUUCUGCUUUCUGAGAAACUCAAACUGAAACCAAGGGCUAUGAAGGAGAGUCAUGAAGCCAUAGAAUGGGAAACUCAUCCAGUCUGAUGAGGUCAGAGGAAGUGUUCCAGGCAAUGAGAGCAGCAUAUGCACAACCCUGACUCAGGAGAACUCAUGGCUGCUUUUAGAAACUGAAAGAAGACAAGAGUGGCUGGAGCAUGGGAGAAGAUGGGAAAAAUGGGAUCAAGUGGCCAAGAGAGGUAGGGCCAGAUCCCAGGGGACCAUAUAGGCUGUACCAAGGCCUCAGGUAUAGAUCCUGAACCAGUGGGGAACCACCAAAGCAUUUAAGCAGCUGGGUAGGGUGACAUAAUGUAUGUGCACUGGCCAGGCUCAAGAGAGGAUACCAGAAGCUUCACGCUCCUGUCGCCUGACCCCAGUCCCCCCUACAAGCCCAGUUCAUACUAGUGACCUGUUCUUCUUGCCCCACUCACCCCUAAUCACUUAGAAUUCUGGGCAGGAAAUCUAAAACAUCACCUUAAAGCAGACCCAUAAAUAGUUAAGUGCCCUCCAUCAACAGGAGAGAGAGGGAAAAAAUAAUCUAUAAAAAUACAUAAUGAAACAACUACAGAACAAACAGAGCUGCAGCACGUGGGCCCUGCCAGGAUAUUGCUUAGACUUGGAGAAGGAUUUUGUAAUAACAUCAUUUGAUUCUUUGG